AGCGAACGCUGGCGGCAGGCCUAACACAUGCAAGUCGAGCGGAUGAGGGAAGCUUGCUUCCCGAUUUAGCGGCGGACGGGUGAGUAAUGCCUAGGAAUCUGCCUGUUGGUGGGGGAUAACUCGGGGAAACUCGGGCUAAUACCGCAUUCGUCCUACGGGAUAAAGUGGGGGAUCUUCGGACCUGAUGCUAACAGAUGAGCCUGGGUCGGAUUAGCUAGUAGGUGAGGUAAGGGCUCACCUAGGCGAAGAUCCGUAACUGGUCUGAGAGGAUGAUCAGUCACACUGGAACUGAGACACGGUCCAGACUCCUACGGGAGGCAGCAGUGGGGAAUAUUGGACAAUGGGCGAAAGCCUGAUCCAGCCAUGCCGCGUGUGUGAAGAAGGUCUUCGGAUUGUAAAGCACUUUAAGUUGGGAGGAAGGGUAUUCACCUAAUACGUGGGUACUUUGACGUUACCAACAGAAUAAGCACCGGCUAACUCUGUGCCAGCAGCCGCCGUAACAC
rnacentral:rRNA from 1 species